rnacentral:misc_RNA from 1 species
GAAAAAUAUAGUAAAGUAACUACUAAAACCAAAUAGGUCAAUAAAAUUCUCCCAGUGACUGACGACUCGUGAGUUUGCAGGGCUCAUAGGAUGGAGAAAAUCCCUCUCUUCAUUCAAUUAUUUCAUUGACGAGUUUUCACGAUGUAAGUCAGUUGAAAAUGAAGAAAAAUUAUUAUAUGAAUGUUAAUCAGGGUGGGUCGAGGCGAAUUAAAA